UGAGUACGAGAUGCUACGGCAUCGAAGCAGUCUAUGUCAUACUUCCAAGAAAAGCUUGCAAUGUCAUAAACAAAUAAUGCCUGUACCAUAACCGACACAGGUGGGUAGGUAGAGUAUACUAAGGGGCGCGAGAUAACUCUCUCUAAGGAACUCGGCAAAAUGACUCCGUAACUUCGGGAGAAGGAGUGCCUUAUUUUUAUAAGGUUGCAAUAACAAGAUCCAAGCAACUGUUUACCAAAAACACAGGUCUCCGCUAAGUCGUAAGACGAUGUAUGGGGGCUUACGCCUGCCCAGUGCCAGAAGGUUAAAGAAGUUGGUUAGCAUUAGCGAAGCUGAUAACUGAAGCCCUGGUGAACGGCGGCCGCAACAAUAACGGUCCUAAGGUAGCGAAAUUCCUUGUCGGGUAAGUUCCGACCCGCACGAAAGGCGUAAUGAUUUGGAUACUGUCUCGGAGAGGGGCUCGGUGAAAUAGACUUGUCUGUGAAGAUGCGGACUACCUGCACCUGGACAGAAAGACCCUAUGAAGCUUUACUGUAACUUGAGAUUAAAAUUGGACUUUAUCUGCGCAGUAUAGGUGGGAGACGUUGAAAAUAUUCUUGCGGGAAUAUUGGAGUCAUCAGUGAGAUACCACUCUUAUAAUGUUAGAUUUCUAACUUUGUAUCAUUAUCUGGUCAAAGAACAGUUUCAGGCGGGCAGUUUGACUGGGGCGGUCGCCUCCCAAACGGUAACGGAGGCGCACAAAGGUUUCCUCUGAACGUGUAGAAAUCGUAUCUAGAGUGUAAAGGCAUAAGGAAGCUUGACUGUGAGACCUACAAGUCGAGCAGGGACGAAAGUCGGUCUUAGUGAUCUGACGGUGCUGAGUGGAAAGGCCGUCACUCAACGGAUAAAAGUUACUCUAGGAUAACAGGCUGAUCUCCCCCAAGAGUUCACAUCGACGGGGAGGUUUGGCACCUCGAUGUCGGCUCAUCGCAUCCUGGGGCGGUAGUACGUCCCAAGGGUUGGGCUGUUCGCCCAUGAAAGCGGUACGCGAGCUGGGUUCAGAACGUCGUGAGACAGUUCGGUCCAUAUCCGGUGUAGGCGUUAGAAUAUUGAGAGGAGCCUUCUUUAGUACGAGAGGACCGAGAAGGACAUACCUCUGGUGUACCAGUUAUCGUGCCAACGGUAAACGCUGGGUAGCCAUGUAUGGAGAGGAUAACCGCUGAAAGCAUGUAAGUGGGAAGCCCACCUCAAGAUAAG
rnacentral:rRNA from 1 species